UAGUGGGGAGGUUAAAGUUUCUUUCAGAGUCUUUUGUCCCUAAAAAUAAUCAAGCCAAAUAGACACAUUUUGAGGUAGCCAAUACCGGUUCCCCACACCAUGCUUGAAAUAAGGC